rnacentral:rRNA from 1 species
AGUGGCGGACGGGUGAGUAACGCGUGAGAAUCUGCCUUGGGGUCGGGGACAACCACUGGAAACGGUGGCUAAUACCGGAUAAGCCGAUUGGUGAAAGAUUUAUUGCCCGAAGAGGAGCUCGCGUCUGAUUAGCUAGUUGGUGAGGUAAGAGCUCACCAAGGCAGCGAUCAGUAGCUGGUCUGAGAGGACGAUCAGCCACACUGGGACUGAGACACGGCCCAGACUCCUACGGGAGGCAGCAGUGGGGAAUUUUCCGCAAUGGGCGAAAGCCUGACGGAGCAAGACCGCGUGAGGGAGGAAGGCUCUUGGGUUGUAAACCUCUUUUCUCAGGGAAGAAGCUCUGACGGUACCUGAGGAAUCAGCCUCGGCUAACUCCGUGCCAGCAGCCGCGGUAAUACGGAGGAGGCAAGCGUUAUCCGGAAUUAUUGGGCGUAAAGCGUCCGCAGGUGGCGAUUCAAGUCUGCUGUCAAAGCACGGGGCUUAACUCCGUAAAGGCAGUGGAAACUGAAUAGCUAGAGUGCCGUAGGGGUAGAGGGAAUUCCCGUUGUAGCGGUGAAAUGCGUAGAGAUCGGGAAGAACAUCGGUGGCGAAAGCGCUCUACUGGACGGCAACUGACACUCAGGGACGAAAGCUAGGGGAGCGAAUGGGAUUAGAUACCCC